UACGUAGGGGGCAAGCGUUGUCCGGAAUCAUUGGGGGUAAAGAGCGUGUAGGCGGCCCGAUAAGUCCGCUGUGAAAGUCCAGAGCUCAACCCUGGGAUGCCGGUGGAUACUGUCGGGCUCGAGUCCGGAAGAGGAGUGUGGAAUUCCUGGUGUAGCGGUGAAAUGCGCAGAUAUCAGGAGGAACACCAAUGGCGAAGGCAGCACUCUGGGACGUGACUGACGCUGAGACGCGAAAGCGUGGGGAGCAAACAGG
rnacentral:rRNA from 1 species